rnacentral:rRNA from 1 species
AGCAAACGCUGGCGGCGUGCCUAAUACAUGCAAGUCGAACGGGGAAAGUAGCAAUAUGAGUACUAGUGGCGCACGGGUGAGGAGCGCGUGGGUAAUCUGCCUUCGAGCGGGGGAUAACUAGUCGAAAGAUUAGCUAAUACCGCAUAAGACCACAAGAUCUGCGGAACUAGGGGUCAAAGCAGCAAUGCACUUGAAGAUGAGCCCGCGUAGGAUUAGCUAGUUGGUGAGGUAACGGCUCACCAAGGCGAUGAGCUUUAGCUGGUCUGAGAGGAUGAUCAGCCACACUGGAACUGAGACACGGUCCAGACUCCUACGGGAGGCAGCAGUAGGGAAUAUUGCGCAAUGGGGGCAACCCUGACGCAGCGACGCCGCGUGAGUGAUGAAGGCCUUCGGGUCGUAAAGCUCUGUUAUAUGGGAAUAAGUUCUGAAUGUACCAUGUGAGAAAGGAUCGGCUAACUUCGUGCCAGCCGCCGCAGUAA